GAGCAAGGUAAUCAAAUUUGAAUGAUGCAACCUUGCAUUGAAGGUUGGCUAUAGGAAACAUAGGGCAAUUCUCCGUGCCUUUCGAACUUUUUUUGUGUCGAUUGUGGCCUCGAACAAAUUGCUACAUU